rnacentral:rRNA from 1 species
UACGUAGGGUGCAGGCGUUAAUCGGAAUUACUGGGCGUAAAGCGUGCGCAGGCGGUUUGCUAAGACAGGUGUGAAAUCCCCGGGCUUAACCUGGGAACUGCGCUUGUAACUGGCAAGCUAGAGUGUGGCAGAGGGGGGUGGAAUUCCACGUGUAGCAGUGAAAUGCGUAGAGAUGUGGAGGAACACCGAUGGCGAAGGCAGCCCCCUGGGACUAACACUGCGCUCAUGCACGAAAGCGUGGGGAGCAAACGAGG